rnacentral:rRNA from 1 species
GACAGAGGGGGCAAGCGUUGCUCGGAAUCACUGGGCGUAAAGGGCGCGUAGGCGGGAUGGCAAGUCGGUCGUGAAAUCCUUCGGCUCAACCGAAGAACGUCGGCCGAUACUGCCGUUCUUGAGGGAUGCAGAGGAGAUUGGAAUUCCCGGUGUAGCGGUGAAAUGUGUAGAGAUCGGGAGGAACACCUGUGGCGAAAGCGGCUCACUGGACCACAACUGACGCUGAGGCGCGAAAGCUAGGGGAGCAAACAGG